rnacentral:rRNA from 1 species
CCUACGGGUGGCUGCAGUAAGGAAUAUUGGUCAAUGGAGGCAACUCUGAACCAGCCAUGCCGCGUGCAGGAUGACGGCCCUAUGGGUUGUAAACUGCUUUUAUACAAGAGAAAACCCUGGUACGUGUACCAGGUUGAUAGUAUUGUAAGAAUAAGCAUCGGCUAACUUCGUGCCAGCAGCCGCGGUAAGACGAAGGAUGCAAGCGUUAUCCGGAUUCAUUGGGUUUAAAGGGUGCGUAGGCGGACUGAUAAGUCAGUGGUGAAAUCUCUUUGCUU